UACGUAGGGUGCGAGCGUUAAUCGGAAUUACUGGGGCGUAAAGCGCACGUAGGCGGCUUUGUAAGUUAGAGGUGAAAGCCUGGAGCUCAACUCCAGAAUUGCCUUUAAGACUGCAUCGCUUGAAUCAGGAGAGGUGAGUGGAAUUCCGAGUGUAGAGGUGAAAUUCGUAGAUAUUCGGAAGAACACCAGUGGCGAAGGCGGCUCACUGGACUGGUAUUACGCUGAGGCACGAAAGCGUGGGGAGCAAACAGG
rnacentral:rRNA from 1 species